GAUGAAGAACGCAGUGAAUUGCGAUAUGUAAUGUGAAUUGCAGAAUUCAGUGAAUCAUCGAAUCUUUGAACGCAUCUUGCACUCUUUGGUCUUCCAAAGGGUAUGCCUGUUUGAGUAUCAUUAAUAAUAUCAAUACAAAUCAAAUCAAUCAAAUCAACUUGAUAGUUUGAUAUGUGUUUGGACGUUGAAGGUAUGCUGGCCUUGCGGUUAAGCUCCUUUUAAAUGAAUUAGCAGAACCAUUUUAGGACUGGCUUCAGUUUGAUAAUGAACAUUUUUAUCGACGCUGUUGCUUGUUAUUUUUGUUCAGCUGAUAAUUGUCCUUUUUUUGGACUGUCCUUUCAAAGACAUCUAAUUCUUUAACUGAUCUCAAAUCAGGUAGGAUUACCCGCUGAACUUAAGCAUAUCAAUAAGCGGAGGA
rnacentral:misc_RNA from 1 species